UACGAAGGGAGCUAGCGUUGUUCGGAAUCACUGGGCGUAAAGCGCACGUAGGCGGAUGUGUCAGUCAGGGGUGAAAUCCCGGAGCUCAACUUCGGAACUGCCUUUGAUACAGCACAUCUGGAGUCCAGAAGAGGUGGGUGGAAUUCCUAGUGUAGAGGUGAAAUUCGUAGAUAUUAGGAAGAACACCGGUGGCGAAGGCGGCCCACUGGUCCGGUACUGACGCUGAGGUGCGAAAGCGUGGGGAGCAAACAGG
rnacentral:rRNA from 1 species